CUGCAAUGACGACUUCUUAGGACACCUUUGGAUUAAUAAUGAAAAGAAUUAAACAAAUUCUGAGCAGC